UACGUAGGGGGCGAGCGUUGUCCGGAUUUAUUGGGCGUAAAGAGCUCGUAGGCGGCUUGGCAAGUCGGGUGUGAAACCUCCAGGCUCAACCUGGAGACGCCACUCGAUACUGCCAUGGCUAGAGUCCGGUAGGGGACCACGGAAUUCCUGGUGUAGCGGUGAAAUGCGCAGAUAUCAGGAGGAACACCGGUGGCGAAGGCGGCGAUCUGGGUCGAUACUGACGCUGAGGUGCGAAAGCGUGGGGAGCAAACAGG
rnacentral:rRNA from 1 species